ensembl:rRNA 5S_rRNA 5S ribosomal RNA
ACACAAGGACAUACCAUCCUGAACAUGCCUGAUCUCAUCUGAUCUCAGAAGCUAAGCAGGGUCAGGCCUGGUUAGUACUUGGACAGGUGACACAUGCACGUGUAUGUU